GCCCAAGGGCAGCAGCAGGCGCGAAACUUGUCCACUCUUCUGCGAGGAGACAGUCAGGAAACGUGAAAUGAAAGGAGGGAGUGUAAACUACUACCUGUGAGGCUAUUGUUGGGCAAGCUUGGUGCCAGCAGCCGCGGUAAUUCCAACAACAAGAAUGUCUAUGAUUGAUGCUGCAGUUAAAAAGUCCGUAGUUGUAUAUGCAAUGAAAAAACACUGAUUAAGGGUGUUAGAUUUGUUCGCAUUGGCGGAAUGGACAGGGAGCACAGUAUAGAUGGGCGAAGGAUGAAAUCUCAAGACCCUAUCUGGACUGACAGAAGCGAAGGCGGUGCUCUUGUACAUCUCAGAGAAUCAAGGACGAAGGCUAUAGUAGUGAUGGCGAUUAGAGACCGCCGUAGCUUUAGCAGUAAAUUAUGCCGACAUUCUCUAUCGGAAGAUGGGGAAGGGAGAAAUCUUAGUGUACGGGCUCUGGGGAAAAUACGAUCGCAAGAUUGAAACUUAAAACGAAAUUGACGGAAGGACACCACAAAGAGUGGAUUGUGCUGCUUAAUUUGACUCAACGCGGGAAAACUUACCAAGCCAGAGCCUAUCGUAGAAUGCAAACGAGAUAGGCAAGAGUGGUGCAUGGCCGUUGGAAAUUGAUGGGAUGACCUUUCGCUUAAAUGCUUUAACCAGUGAGAUCUUCUAGACAGGUACCAUGCGGUACAGGAAGGAGAAGGCUAUAACAGGUCCGUAAUGCCCUCAAUGGCUUGGGCAGCAAGCGCAAUACAAUAUCUAUCGUAAGAGAAAGCAAAUGGUAGAUAAGUAGGAUUGGAUCUUGUAAGAGAUCCAUGAAUGCGGAAUUCUCAGUAACAAUAGGUUCAUUAAGCCAUUGUGAAUACGUCCCUGUUCUUUGUACACACCGCCCGUCGCCAUUUCAGAUGAUGUUGGAUAUGAAGAGCCUAGGUUCUGAAUAUUCAA
rnacentral:rRNA from 1 species